rnacentral:rRNA from 1 species
AGAGUUUGAUCCUGGCUCAGAAUGAACGCUGGCGGCGUGCUUAACACAUGCAAGUCGAACGAUGAAGCCCAGCUUGCUGGGUGGAUUAGUGGCGCACGGGUGAGUAAUAUAUAGAUAACGUGCCUCUUAGUCUGGGAUAGCCAUUGGAAACGAUGAUUAAUACCGGAUACUCCUUCUAACUCUAAUGUUAGUCGGGAAAGUUUUUCGCUAAGAGAUCGGUCUAUAUCCCAUCAGCUUGUUGGUAGUGUAAGAGACUACCAAGGCUAUGACGGGUAGCGGGUUUGAGAGGAUGAUCCGCCACACUGGUACUGAGACACGGACCAGACUCCUACGGGAGGCAGCAGUGAGGAAUAUUGCACAAUGGAGGAAACUCUGAUGCAGCAACGCCGCGUGGAGGAUGACGCAUUUCGGUGUGUAAACUCCUUUUAUAUGUCAAGAAAAUGACGGUAGCAUAUGAAUAAGCACCGGCUAACUCCGUGCCAGCAGCCGCGGUAAUACGGAGGGUGCAAGCGUUAUUCGGAAUCACUGGGCGUAAAGGACGCGUAGGCGGGUUGGAAAGUCAGAUGUGAAAUCCUACAGCUUAACUGUAGAACUGCAUUUGAAACUUCUAAUCUAGAGUAUGGGAGGGGGAGAUGGAAUUAGUGGUGUAGGGGUAAAAUCCGUAGAUAUCACUAGGAAUACCGAAAGCGAAGGCGAUCUCCUGGAACAUACUGACGCUAAGG